GUCUCUGUAGCGCAAUGAAUAGCGCGUUGAACUUCUAAUCCAAAAAUUGUUGUUUCAAAUUCCACCUGGGAUG